CUUCCAACGCACAACGGUAGGCACAAAAUUGAUUAUCCAAGCGUCUCUUGCUCUCUCCCAAGUCCCAAACCUUGAAACCCAGCAAUUUUUUUUAUUAAAUUGGUUUCAAUGGUUACUCAAUUCUUCAGUUCAUUCUCAUCCAUCACCCAAUCUUUCUCCUCUCCAUGUUUAUGUUAUUCUACGGUGAUCAUACGAAUUUUUCAGCUUUCCAUCGAUGUAGGCUGAGGUACAAAUCAAAAUAGGUGCAAUUGGAAGUUGGAGUUGCAAGUCAAUCUCGAUCAGAAAAGAAAGAACAAGAAGGAAAAAAGCAAGUUCCAGAUUUCCAGGUGCAAUUAGAAGUUGGAUUUGCAAGUCAAUCCCGAUUAGAAAAGAAAAAACAAGAAGGAAAAAAGCUGAUUCUAGAUUUGCAGGUUUUAUUAUUCUAUGCUAAAGUGUUUCUCAUUCAAAGUUUAGUGUUUUGGCUUGCCAACUUUCAGUUUGAAGUUUCAGCAAGAUAUCAUAUUUAGCUUGGGACUACAAUGCUAUUUUGUGCUACUUUUCAUGUUGUAAGCACCCUGUUCAUUUGGGGGGUCAGCCACCAUAUUCAAGAUGAGGUAAAAUACUAGGGCUUUUUCAAUUGGUUUUAUUGAAUAGAAAAUUUCAUGCACAUUACUGAUCAUUUGGUGUAAUCCAUUCGAUUGUGGAAAUGGCAGCAUACUGGGUGAAUAUA